AUUUAUGAACAUAGUUAAAUUGAGAGACAAAAAAAAGAUUCAGAUGCUUAAUUUCAGUGCAAAAAAAUUCAGUGCUAGAAAUUCAAUGGCUUUUAUAAUUAAAAAUCUGAUGAGACAGAUGUACUUCCAUAGGGGAUGUUGCAUCGGAGAAUAAGCUGUUUGGUUGUGUGUGUGUGUGUGUGUGUGGUGUCUUUUAAAUCAUUAUUGCAACAAUCCCUGACUCUUGGUUUUGAUGCUGUAAACCAUUCAAUAUUUGACAAAAACAGCAGAAAUAUGUGAAAACAUUUUGGACUUGAAAAUUUUUUCUCCCAGAAAUUUUUGUAUCUGGUUUAUCCUACUGAAAAGACUGCCUUAUUUUAUACAAUAUUUAUACAGUACAUCCCACUGUGCAACUGCAACGGACACCUGGAGUUUUUAUUGUGACGUAGUGAGAAGGUUGUGUUCAAGUAAAUCUCAAUAUUUUUCUAGGCGAUGAAUUUUACACUGGAUUUGCAGUAAACGAUGGCAACCAUUCUAUUGAAUAUCUGAAUACCUGUGAAUGGGACGGCUGCACAGAGAAUGUAUGCAGAGAACGUAUGCAGAGAACUGUACGCAGAGAACGUAUGCAGAGAACACAGUUGUCUAUCACUGUCUUGAAGCGCUCUCAGAGGAAUCGAUCAAACACCCGUUGCUGUUUUUUUGGAAACUUGUCCAACAUGCGUCCGUUCAGACCCAGGGCUGAGUUUAGAUUCGGAUGCUAAUACAUGUUGAGGUUGUGUCUCAUUUUGAAUCUUUCCUCUUUCAACAGUAUAUAAAUAAAUGCCAUCACAGCUAAAGCAGGAGGGGGUUAAUAAGACCAAUACUGACCAGAGUUAUCUUUGUUUCUCUCUUAUGGCAAAAUUGUAAAUUCAAUCAGGGGAUGUAUUUUUUCCUUCUGAUUCACAUGUUGGUCUGAACGCACGGAAAAAGAUUAGAAACUAUUCAAUGAAAAAUAAAAUAAUGUCAAUUAUAAUGGUG